AAAUAGGAACCAUUUUCAGCCCUUGGAUCAUCAAGAUCUACGGUUAAUUCAUCACCUUGUUGGAAUAAUUCAUGGUCCUGACUUCGAAUCCUAUAGGUAUCAAAAAAUUUAAUUUUCGUAAUUUAUACAUUUACACAGCGGAUUCAUGGGUGUUCUACAUAUAAUUCAUACAUUUUAAUUAGUUUAUAGUUUAUAGUCUAAGAAGAGUUUUCUGAAUAGCCCUCCC
rnacentral:lncRNA from 1 species